rnacentral:lncRNA from 1 species
CUGUCAGUGCCGGGGAUUCCCUAGAGGGGGUCAUUCUAUUCAACCAUUACACACACCCCGGGCUCCUGCCGCCGCGCCGCCACCGCCGCCGCCGCCGCCGCCGCCUCACAAAAUGGCGGCGCCCAUAGAGGAGAGAGCGGCCGCCUCCUCGGCCCCAUUUUGUGGGAGGUGAGAGAUCUGUCAACAUGGAAUACCUCCGCUGAGAAUGCUUCCGAGCUUGGAAAGCCGGCCUGAGGGAUGGAGGCUGAAAGACCACCUUGCUCGGGAACUGUCACCUCUACACUUUUUCACUUUUUCAUUUUCUCAAAGGAAGCGGUAGAAGCCGCCCUGGUAAUUUUAACUAAGGGGAGAAAGGAAAGCUCCGGAUGACAGCUCCGGGAACCUGACGCGGCAUCUUGGUGGCUUUGGUUGCUCUUCACGCUCCUGGCCGUUGACUGGGAUCCGAGGGGUCGUGGACCGGCUGAUGCGAUGUAGCAGCGGUGGCCGUGGCCCCGCCACCCGUACAGGAAGACUUUUCGCGAGUUUUUAGACGCCGGAGUCUGUAGGUCUCCUCGUCUGCAUCGUGACCCUCGGAGCCCCAGAGGCCACUGCCCAGCGACUCGGGCCGGAGCGGGCGGGACGAGUGGAUGCCCAGCCGGGAUGGUGCUCCGGGGCUGUGGUUGGGACGAAGGCCUCCAACCUGGAAUAGAAGUGUCCUUAACAGUGGAAGAUGAAACAGAAGAUGAGAUCGGGCGCAUUCAGGUUGUAUGGCUGUAGAUCGGAUGAGACAGAAGAGAAAGUAAGAGGAGCUGAUGUGAAGACGGAAAAC